rnacentral:lncRNA from 1 species
AGAGAACAAACCUCAUAAACACCACCAAAGUCAAGAAAUUGCUGCGAGACCAGAGAAGAUUACUGAAAACAAGAGCUGAAGUGUGCGCUGGAAAAAAAGCAGAUCGCAAAAGAACACAGAGAGCCCUUGCUGGAACAGAAGAAAAAAUAGCAGAAUCUGGGCAAGGGAAUCAGAAGCUUGAGAUCAAAAAACCAGAGGAUCCAUUGCUGGAAGCCUGUCGAAGAAGUAGAAAUCGUGCAUGAACCAAAAAAUGCGCCCGGUGUGCAUGACAGAAGACACCAUGCCUGAAGGAACAAAGGAGCAGCGGGAACCAGAGACACUGGGUGUGCGCGACUAAACAACGAACCAAAAAGCGUUGGGUGUGUGUGACGGAACCAGACACCAUGCUCGAAGGGACCAGAGGAGCAGCGCGAACUAGAGGAGCUGGGUGUGCGCGACGGAACCAGACACCGUGUGCAAAGGAAGCAGCACGAACCAGCGUGUUGGGUUGGGUUGCGUGAACUAGAGAAAGGAAGCAGUGGGAACUAGAGGUCGUGCGCAAAGAAGCAGCACGAACGGGCCGGGUGCGACAAAAACAGAGGGAUCAUGUAGGGCCGAGACGAUCACCGAAAUAUGGCGACAGGCC